rnacentral:rRNA from 1 species
GUUCGGAUUGAAGGUUGAAAUUCGCCUUCAUGAAGUCGGAAUUGCUAGUAAUGGCAGGUCAGCAUACUGCCGUGAAUACGUUCCCGGGCCUUGUACACACCGCCCGUCACACCAUGAGAGUUGGAGAUACCCGAAGCCUAUGAGCUAACUUUUAGAGGCAGUAGUCGAAGGUAGAAUCAAUGAUUGGGGUGAAGUCGUAACAAGGUAGC